rnacentral:rRNA from 1 species
CGUAGGGGGCGAGCGUUGUCCGGAAUUACUGGGCGUAAAGCGCGUGUAGGCGGUUGCCCAAGUCGGGUGUGAAAGCCUUGAGCUCAACUCAAGAAAUGCACUCGGUACUGGGUGACUAGAGGACCGGAGAGGAUAGUGGAAUUCCCAGUGUAGUGGUGGAAUACGUAGAGAUUGGGAAGAACACCAGUGGCGAAGGCGGCUAUCUGGACGGUUUCUGACGCUAAGACGCGAAAGCGUGGGGAGCAAACAGGAUUAGAUACCCUGGUAGUCCACGCCGUAAACGAUGGGUGCUAGACGUUGGCGAGCUUGCUCGUCAGUGUCGCAGCUAACGCGUUAAGCACCCCGCCUGGGGAGUACGGCCGCAAGGUUG